rnacentral:rRNA from 1 species
GGUUAGCCUCGGAUUAGGUAGGGAUACCCGCUGAACUUAAGUAUAUUAAUAAGCGGAGGAAAAGAAACUAAUAGAGAUUACCUUAGUAACGGCGAGUAAAGCGGUAAUAGUUUAAAUUUAAAAUCUAGCGCAAGCCCGAGUUGUAAUUUAUAGAGGAUAUUUCGGGUAAAGCUAUAGUCUAAGUCCCUUAGAAUAGAACGUUAUAGAGGGUAAGAACCCCGUACCUAGCCGUUAGUACCCCCCGCUAUAAAACUCCUUCGACGAGUCGAGUUGUUUGGGAAUAUAGCUCUAAAUUAGUAGUAAAUUCUAUCUAAAGCUAAAUACUAGCUAGAGACUAAUAGCGUACAAGUAGAGUAAUCGAAAGAUAAAAAGUACUUUGAAAAAAGAGUUAAAAAGUACGUAAAAUUAUUAAAAGGGAAGCGCUUGCGGCUAGACUUACCCGCGGUUACUUAGCCCGCCUUUUAGCGGGUAUACUCUUCUACGGUUAGGCUAGUAUCAGUUUAGGCGGUCGGAUAAAGGCGCCGGGAACGUAGCCUCCCCUUAGGGAGGUAUUAUAGCCCGGUGCGUAAUACGGCUAGCCCGGACCGAGGUUCGCGCUUUACUAGGAUACUAGCGUAAUAGCCGUAAGCGGCUCGUCUUGAAAUACGGACCAAGGAGUCUAAUAUCUAUACGAGUAUUUAGGUAUUAAACCCGUACGCGUAAUAAAAGUAAACGGAGGUAGAAACCGCAAGGUAUACUAUUAACCGAUCCUAAUAUCUUCGGAAGGAUUUAAGUAAGAGUAUAGCUAUUAGGACCCGAAAGAUAGUAAACUAUAUAUAAAUAGGGUAAAGCUAGAGGAAACUCUAGUAGAGGCUCGUAGUAGUUCUAACGUACAAAUCGAUCGUUAAAUUUACGUAUAGGGGCGAAAGACUAAUCGAACUAUUUAUAAAUAGUAAUACUAGAUAGUUAAAGGGGGGAGAGCCUUAGUCCCUACGGGGGCUAUACUACUAAACUACGGGGAACGCCUAUAGCCGGACGCUACUACCCCCCCGCCGCAAGGUAGGAGGGGUACCCUAUUUACUCGGGGGUAAGGUAAUAGCGCGCCUAGUAGGUCGAUCCGUAGCCGUCCCCCAAUCCGUUGGGGGGUAGUUUAUAGACUAGACGGUAGUAGGCGCGGCGAGCGCUUAAGAUAUAGUCGAUCCAGCCCCUUAAGGGGCCGAGAGUAGUAGCUAGUUCCUACCGAAGUUUCCCUUACGAUAGUAGUAACGUUUUUAGUUUUAUAAGGUAAAGCGAAUAAUUAGAGGCCUAGGGGUUGAAACUAACCUUUACCUAUUCUCAAACUUUAAAUAUAUAAGAAGUCCUUAUUACUUAGUUAAACGUAGACAUUUGAAUAUACCGUUACUAGUAGGCUAUUUUUGGUAAGUAGAACUAGCGAUACGGGAUGAACCGAAUAGGGGGUUAAGGUACUAGAAUAUACGCUUAUUAGAUACUAUAAAAGGUAUUAGUUUAUCUAGAUAGUAGGACGGUAGCCAUAGAAGUCGGAAUCUACUAAGGAGUAUAUAAUAACUUACCUACUAAAUAAACUAGCCCUGAAAAUUGAUAGCGCUUAAGCGUACUACCUAUACCCCCCCUCCGCGGUAGGCUUUAUACCGCGGAGAGUAGGUAGGCGUAGAGGCCCGUAACGAAGCCUAGAGGGUAACCCCGGGUCGAACGGCCUCUAGUAUAGAUCUUGGUAGUAGUAGUAAAUACUUAAAUAAGAACUUUAAGGACUAAAGUAGGGAAAGGUUCCGUAUAAAUAGUAGUUAGACACGGGUUAGCCGACCCUAAGUACUAGAGUAGUUCUAAUUCAACGUACGCGCUUACGCGCCGUAGUACGAAAGGGGAGCCGGUUAAUAUUCCGGCGCCUAGAUAUAGAUUCUCUAUAGCAACGUAACUAAAGGCGGAGACGACGGCGGGGGUCCUAGGAAGAGUUCUCUUUUCUUCUUAAUAGUCUAUUACCCUAAAAUCGGUUUGUCCGGAGCUAGGGUUCAACGACCGGUAGAGCCCCUUACCUUUAAGGGGUUUGGUACGCCCCCGACGUCCCUUGAAAAUCCGCUAGAAGGAAUAGCUUUUACGCUAGGUCGUACUUAUAAUCGUAGUAGGUCUCCAAGGUAAACAGCCUCUAGUUAAUAGAAUAAUAUAGAUAAGGGAAGUUAGUAAAAUAGAUCUAUAACUUCGGGAAAAGGAUUGGCUCUAAGGGUCGGGUACGUUAGGCCUUAGGGGGACGCUCCCGGAGUAGGUUAGUACUAGGCUUACGCCCGGCGCCUUCUAAUACUAUAGGGUCGACGCCCUUAGUAGGCUUCGGCCGUCCGGCGUACGCUUAACGACUAACUUAGAACUAGUACGGACUAGGGGAAUCUAACUAUCUAAUUAAAAUAUAGUAUUGCGAUAGCUAGAAAGUAGUAUUAACGCAAUAUAAUUUCUACCUAGUACUCUAAAUAUCAAAGUAAAGUAAUUCAACUAAGCGCGGGUAAACGGCGAGAGUAACUAUAACUCGAGUAACCUCGAGAGGGUUAUAAGAGUAGUAGCGGGCCGCUAGCGGAGGGGGUACGCCCCCCGAGCGAUACUAUUAAAUUACGGGGACCUCUAGAUACCUCUACUACCAACCCGGGGCCCGAAAGGGCGCCGGGGGCUAGGACUAAUAGUUCCCGGGUACGGUAAUAGCGCGUAGGCCCUAGACGAUCUAUAGUUAAACCCGCCGCCUCCCUAGGGAGCGCGGGUAUAGUUUAAUAACUAAAUAGUAGUAGGGCCCCCCUAGGGGCCCUAAGAUAUAGUCUACCGGAGAGCCUAACGGCCUCUACUCGGAAAGAGCUCUUAAGGUAGCCAAAUACCUCGUUAUCUAAUUAGUAACGCGUAUAAAUAGAUUAACGAGAUUCCUACUAUCCCUAUCUACUAUCUAGCGAAACUAUAGCUAAGGGAAUAGGUUUAGUAGAAUUAGCGGGGAAAGAAGACCCUAUUAAGCUUAACUCUAGUUUAAUAUUAUAAAAAGAUAUAGGGGGUAUAGAAUAGGUAGGAGCUUCGGCGCCGGUAAAAUACUACUACCCUUAUUAUUUUUUUACUUAUUUAAUUAAGCGGAACUAGACUUUACCGUCUAAUUUCUUAUAUUAAGGUCCUUCGCGGGCCGAUCCGGGUUGAAGAUAUUAUUAGGUAGGGAGUUUAGCUAGGGCGGUAUAUCUAUUAAACUAUAACGUAGGUAUCCUAAGGGGGACUUAUAGAGAAUAGAAAUCUCUAGUAGAGUAAAAGGGUAAAAGUCCCCUUAAUUUUAAUUUUUAGUAUAAAUACAAACUAUAAAAGUAUAGCCUAUUAAUCCUUUAGUCCCUCGGAAUUUAAGGCUAGAGGUACUAGAAAAGUUACUAUAGGGAUAACUAGCUUAUAGUAGCUAAGUAUUUAUAGUAAUAUUACUUUUUAAUUCUUCGAUAUCGGCUCUUCCUAUUAUACCGAAGUAGAAUUCGGUAAGCGUUAGAUUAUUUACCUACUAAUAGGGAACGUAAGCUAGGUUUAGACUAUUAUAAGAUAGGUUAGUUUUACCCUACUAAUAACCGUCGCCCCAACGGUAAUUCCGCUUAGUACGAGAGGAACCGCGGAUUUAGAUAAUUGGUUUUUAUAGCUAUCCGACCGGGUAGUACCGCGAAGCUACUAUCUACUAGAUUAUAGCUAAACGCCUCUAAGUUAGAAUCCAUACCGGAACGGGGUAAUUUACCCCUAUAUACUUUACUCGUAUACGAAUAGGCUUCGGCCCCGGACCUUAGUAGGCCGACGACGGGGUAGCCCCCGAAACGGGCCCCCCUAGUUAGCGUAUUAUAAUU